UGAAAAUUUAGGGUUUAGAGUUGAUGGUUUAGGGUUUAGAGCUGAAUUUUAGGGUUUAGGGUUUAGAGUUUAGAGUUGAUGUUUCGGGGUUUAGAGUUUAGAAUUGAUGUUUCAGGAUUUAGGGUCUGUAUUUCAAAAAAUAAAAGGGUUUAAGCUUGAUGGUUUAGGGUUUAUGGUUCAUAUUUCAAAAUAUAAUAUGGUUUAUGAUUGAUGGUUAGGGUUUAGAAUUGAGUUUAGGGUUUAGGGUUUGAAUUUCGAAAUAGUAUAUAUUUAUUAUCUAUAUAUAAUAGCAAAUCUUUUUUUAUCUAACUGAUGACAUCAUCAUUUUAUUAUAGGAAAAAAUCAAAAUCUAAUGGUGAGAAUCGUGUAUGUGAUAUAAUUUAAUGGUUAAGGUUUUGGUUAGGAACAAAAGAAUGACGUACUAGAUUUACUAUAGCAAUCGACGGCUUCAUCAUACCUCCUCACAGGCGUCUCUUAAACAGAUCAUCUGUUUUUUCCUUAAAGGUUGUAUCUUUUCGCACUCAGAUCUUCUAGAUCUUCUGUGGAACCGUCAUCAUUUUCCCUUGACAGUUGUAACUGUUCAGAAGUUUAUAAAUUGAAGAGAUUGUAUCGAGUUGCGGAUUUGUUUCAAGUUUUCUAUGCUUCUUAUCUCUCUCUCUCCUCCGCAUCCAAAUCCAGUGAUCCACGAUUCAGAAGAACUCAAUCAUGAUGUCUAUUGAAUAUUUAUACACUGCAGUGCGAUUCAGAUUUUUUUGAUUGUAAAGCAGAUCCAGCAUCACCGUACAGACAGUGCGCUGAUCAUCUAAUGGUUUAGGAAAUUAAUACCUUUUAUAUAAAAUUUUUAUAUUCAGGCUUGUUAAGAUGGGAUUACGUAACGUCAUAUGUAUGAUGUCUGUUACAUUCUGCAUACAUCAUUUUUAAUUAAGGUUUCAAAAGGUGGUCUAGAUCGCUAAGAAUUUGUAAAUGAGGGAUUGUUAGGAGGACCAGAACAAUUACUAUAGACUAUCACAGACUCAACAGCAUCCUCAAGUGCACCAUUCAUCUGUGCCUGUGCGUGCGUUUAAGUGGUGAGGACUUGAAAAAGAAGUGGGAGACUUCAUCACAGUGGAAGCCCGGCGUCUGGAACAAAUAGAGCCUCCUCCCUCUGGUUUUUCGCAGUCAUCUAUCUUUCUGAACCUUCCUAUCUGGUAGCAAGCACAAAAAAAAACAGAGGACAGAUUAUGGUAAUAUUAAGUCCUUCCCUUGGAUACUCUGGAACCUUUGGAAAGGGAGAAAUGCUUUGGUGUUUGAGAAAAGCCGAAUCUCCUCUGCUUCAUGCAUCUCUAAGUCGCUGGAAGAGGGAGAUAUUUGGUAUAUGGUUAACUACAAUGAGAAUAAUCAGGCUGCGGCUUUGGAAACAAGCCGUCUUCACACAACUCUUGGGAAAAGUCUCCCCUUGUUUUAUCAAAUGCAAUGUUGGCAUGGCUUGGGAUAGCUCUGGACCUCUGAGGGGUGCUAGCUGGGUUACAAGAGAUAGUCAGUGCCGUCCGCUUGACCAUAGCCGCCGUGCUUUCUGUUCUCCCCUAUCUAAACAGGAGUCAAACUUAAAGGCUAUGUUGUGGGCUGUGGAAGAGAUGGGCAACCUGAUUAUCUGAAGCAACGAAAAAUUCUGUUUGAAGUUUCUUCUGCGGAGGUGAGACAGUCACUUCUGGAUCCAUACAGCUAUCCUGAACUCUUAUCACUUUCUACAAAAAUCCUUGAGUUGCUGCACCGACACACCGUUUUGAUGAAUGGUCUGAUUCCACGUGCUUGACCAUAAAAAUAAUGUAGCAACAGCGAUUGCAGAUAGUGUGGUCUCAUACUUCUGUACGCAAUCUUAUGUCACCCGCUGGUGGACCUUGCUGGCUUCAUCAAGCUAUCCAACAGGAGGCAGGUGUCUAAUUUUCUAUUCCAUUGGCUGGCUCAGGGGAUAUGUGCCAGUGGCACCUUUAAUUGCCAUCUUGUUUCUUUUGGCUUAGUUCUUUCAUGUUUCUCUUUAGAUCUCUACGGUACCUGCUGGUAUCUUGUUGUCUGUUUCUCAGUUUUUCUAAGUGUUAAAAAAAAACACAAUCAAAGAAUCCCAGCAAAUGGUUUUUACAAA